rnacentral:miRNA from 1 species
UGGUGGUCAUGAUAUUGGUGACGAUGAUGAUGAUUAUAGUGGUAAUAAUAAUAAUAAUGAUCACGCUUAUUCUUCGCAUCAUCAUCACCAUUAUCAUCA